UUUGCGUCGAAGGUAUACCGGUAAGGAGUGCUGGAGCGAAUAGAAGUGAGCAUGCAGGCAUGAGUAGCGAUAAUUAAUGUGAGAAUCAUUAACGCCGUAAACCCAAGGUUUCCUACGCGAUGCUCGUCAUCGUAGGGUUAGUCGGGUCCUAAGUCGAGUCCGAAAGGGGUAGACGAUGGCAAAUUGGUUAAUAUUCCAAUACCAACAUUAGUGUGCGAUGGAAGGACGCUUAGGGCUAAGGGGGCUAGCGGAUGGAAGUGCUAGU
rnacentral:rRNA from 1 species